AGCUGUGGGAGCGACUGAGCAGUACACACCAGAUCAGGCACAAGGAAGGAAGCCCUGAGGUUGUGACAGGACUGGCUACAAGUGUUGUCUUUGCUGGGAGAUCCAAGCGUCAUUUGACCUAAAGGAAGUGACUGGUCCUUUGGGCCUGGCAGUAACCUGAACAUUGCUGUGACUCGUGGGCUUCCAGCUGCUGGAGGCUGCAAUCCCCUGUCGUUAACAUGGUUAUUGGACUGAAAUCUGCCCUUGGCCAGUCAGAGACAGACACGUACCUGUGUCGCUCCCCAGCUCCCGUUGCAGCGUCUCUAGGGGAAGGAGAAGA